rnacentral:rRNA from 1 species
GACGAACGCUGGCGGCGUGCUUAACACAUGCAAGUCGAACGGAAAGGCCCUGCUUUUGUGUGGUGCUCGAGUGGCGAACGGGUGAGUAACACGUGAGUAACCUGCCCUUGACUUUGGGAUAACUUCAGGAAACUGGGGCUAAUACCGGAUAGGAGCUCCUGCUGCAUGGUGGGGGUCGGAAAGUUUCGGCGGUAGGGGAUGUACUCGCGGGUUAUCAGCUUGUUGGUCGGGUAGUGGCUUACCAAGGCUUUGACGGGUAGCCGGCCUGAGAGGGUGACCGGGCACAUUGGGACUGAGGGACGGCCCAGAGUCCAACAGGAGGCAGCAGUGGAGAAUAUUGCACAAUGGGCGGAAGCGUGAUGCAGCGACGCUGCGAGCGGGAUGACGGCCAUGGGGUUGUGAACCGCUUUAAGCUGUGACGAUGCGGGAGUGACGGUAAUGGGUAAAGAAGCACCGGCUAACUACGUG